rnacentral:rRNA from 1 species
UUCCGGUUGAUCCUGCCGGAGGUCACCGCUUUUGGAAUCCGAUUAAGCCAUGCGAGUCUAAAGGACUUCGGUCCUUGGCAGACGGCUCAGUAACACGCGGAUAAUCUGCCCUUGGGUGGGGGAUAAUCUCGAGAAAUUGAGCAUAAUACCCCAUAGGUUUAGGGAGCUGGAAUGCCCCUAAGCUGAAAACCCCGGUGCCCAAGGAUGAGUCUGCGGUCUAUCAGGUUGUAGUGGGUGUAACGGACCCACUAGCCCUCGACGGAUACGGGCCUUGAGAGAGGUAGCCCGGAGAUGGACUCUGAGACACGAGUCCAGGCCCUACGGGGCGCAGCAGGCGCGAAAACUUCGCAAUGUGGGAAACCACGACGAGGGGAUUCCAAGUGCCUAUGCAAUGCAUAGGCUGUUCUUGUGCCUAAAAAGCACGUGAGGUAAGGGCUGGGUAAGACGGGUGCCAGCCGCCGCGGUAAUACCCGCAGCCCAAGUGGUGAUCGCUAUUAUUGAGCCUAAAGCGUCCGUAGCCGGUCUGAUAAAUCCUUGGGUAAAUCGGGCAACUCAACUGUCCGAAUUCCGAGGAGACUGUCAGACUAGGGACCGGGAGAGGUCAGAGGUACUCCGGGGGUAGGGGUGAAAUCCUGUAAUCCUCGGGGGACCGCCAGUGGCAAAGGCGUCUGACCAGAACGGAUCCGACGGUAAGGACGAAGCCCUGGGGCGCAAACCGGAUUAGAUACCCGGGUAGUCCAGGGUGUAAACGCUGCAGCUUGGUGUCGGGGGUCCUACGAGGGCACUCGGUGCCGGAGAGAAGUUGUCAAGCCUGCCGCUUGGGGGAGUACGCUCGCAGGAGUGAAACUUAAAGGAAUUGGCGGGGAGCACAGCAACGGGAGGAGCGUGCGGUUCAAUUGGAUUCAACGCCGGAAUCGUCG